CCGAGGCGGAGCGGGGCAAGACCGGCAGGGCGGGGCAGAGAGGGAUCGGGACCAGGAGAGCGGUCCGGGACCAAGAACGAGAUCAGCGGGGCAGAACGGGACCGGGACCGGCGGGGCGGGACAGGUACACGGCAGAGCAUCACGCUGCUGUUCAUAGUGGCUGUUCCAGCUACAGAGCCUGGCAAGAGCAGAGGCUAUUCCUCAGCCACCAGUAACAGGUGACAAAGUGCUCUGGAAAGCGAAGCUGAGGCCUAAGCCAAGGCACAGCUCAGCUUCAGAGAGAGACUGCUUCAGUCCAAGGACCUGGAAAAUGUUUUCCCUUUUCUGCCAGCUCCAGACUGCCAGUGCUUUCUAGGAUGAGAUGCUGUGGGGAGCCCAUGACAGUGCCCAAGCAGCACUUACCCUGGCAUUGUAAGCAUCCAGCUGUGCAUCUAGUUCUUCUGCAGAGAGCUGCUGUUUGGAAGUUCUUCCAGCUCCUCUGCCUCUCCCUCUGUUCCCGCCACGAGUCCCUCGCCUGUUGCCUCCACCUCCAAAUCCCCCCGAGACCCCGCGGUUUCUGGUCAUGCCACCUCUGUUUACACUGUGAGUUUUAAAAGCAACUGUUUUAGUGCCGUCAGCGAACCCAAACAGGACCCACGUUCCCCAUCAGGGAGGGGUCCUGCACCUUCCCGCCCCACUGCUCGGGGCAGGGGCUCCCCCACCUCUGUGCUGGUCUCCGCUGCGUGUCGAUCUGUGACGUCACCAGCUGGAUGUUCAUGGGGCGCCCUGAAGGGAGGGAGAGCAGCCGUGAGUCUGCGCAGGACACGCAAGGUGGGAGGGAGCGACACGGAUGUGCGGGAGAAACGGGCACGCAGGCAGGGACACGGAUGCGCAGGUUGCUCCACUCCAGCGCUGGAAACAGGCCAUGGAGAUGGGCCACACAGACUCACCAUCCAAGGGGACCCCGUUGUACUGCUUCAUUGCCUUCAGCGCAUCAGCCUUCCUCUCAAAAUGCACAUCUGCCGUUCCUAGACUGCGACCAGAUCUGUCAUAGUGCACAGCUGCCUUCUUCAAGGUCCCAAACUCCGCAAAUAGCUCCUGAGAAUGAGAGGGAAAGGAGCAUGCCCAUCCAUCAAUGCUGCAAACACUGCAGCUCCCCACACAGACACACUUGGCCAGCACCAGUGCUUUUCCAACCACCACAGACAAUCUGGAAAAAGAGCUAAUGGCAGAGGGGAGCACAGCCCAUCAGGAAGAUUUCAGGGAGUUGUCGUAAGUGGCAAAACCAAGCAGGACUCUGCAUUCAUGUCCUGCAGAAGGCACAUUUACAGCCAGUGAAGCAGAUUCAAGGAAUGCUGAAACCUGUUUCUUUUCCAGUGGAACUGGGGGACUUUGUUGAAGAUGAGUCAAAGUGGCAACUAUUGAAAAUACUCCAGACCCCAGACACCUUUCUCACAGAGAAUGACCAUGGGAGUGCAGGGAUCCACAAGACGAUGACACUUUUGCUGCACUGAACUUGUGCCCAUUAGGAACAUACCCCAAAAAUGGAGACCAACAAAGUCCUCUGCUGCGGUCUGUCCUUUGCUGCCACAAAGGUUGGAAAUAAACAGGCAGCAACAGAGCCACCAAUUUUGUUUCUCAGGUGCUACAUUUGGGAAGCUAAUGAGGUUACUGCACAGCCUGUGUCAAGCUGCUCCUGAGUCACAGCAGGGCUCCCAGCAGGGCUGGUGGAAGAGAGCUGCAAAGGCCACCUGGCAGAUGCUUUCUGGAUGGAAUGUGGCAAGCAAGGCUGUGUCAGCUCUGCUCAGAGUCUGAGGUCAGCUGCUCCUGCCUCAGAGGACACAAAGAGCAACGCUGUGCAGCUCCUUCGUGACCAGAGCUCCUCUGGCCUCUCGCACCACAUAAAGAGGCAUUAGCACAGGAACAAAACCAAUCCCACAUCUGAGGCAACACUAAGUUACGGGGCUGGGGGCCAAAGCCAUUGAGUCAGCCCUGCUGUUAAACAAAUGCAGUGGGAGCUUGUGCAGCAGCAGGAAGGUGAGUCCUGGCUGCACACAAAGCGCAGGGGCCGAGUUUUACACACUGCGGCCUCACUGCAACAAACAGGAACUUAUUUAAACCCAAUCUGAACUUACACAAGGAAAAGAGGUGGUGUGCAGCACACUACCCAGUGAGUAGGUGACCUGACAGAGCUCCUUUCCAAUUCCCCAGGCACAGCCAGAUUGGUGCGUGGAGAGGCUGGAAUGAAUGAACCGAUGAAGAAAGUCUGACAGCAGUGGUUUGGUUUUCCCUGGUGAGGACACAAGAGCCAGGGGCCAGGGUGAUGGCAGCACUCUGUGGCGUAGGAGUGCCUGCCAGGGACACACGUGGCACUCAAUUCCUGCACAGCUCAGAGCCCACUCAUGACCCUGUGACACCCCUCGGCCGGGUGGGAGCCCCCCUCAGCCUCCAGCCCUGAGGCAGAUGCACCAAGCACCCAACUGCAGGCACUGUGGGCUCUGACCAG